ACUGCCCCAGGUGCUGCUGGGGGUUGUAGUCUGACCCGACUGAGAAGAAGGCCGCAGGGCUCCGGGGACAGGGG
rnacentral:precursor_RNA from 1 species